CCUACGGGAGGCAGCAGUGGGGAAUAUUGCACAAUGGGGGAAACCCUGACGCAGCGACGCCGCGUGAGUGAAGAAGUAUUUCGGUAUGUAAAGCUCUAUCAGCAGGGAAGAAGCAAGACGGUACCUGCCUAAGAAGCCCCGGCUAACUAUGUGCCAGCAGCCGCGGUAAUACGUAGGGGGCAAGCGUUAUCCGGAUUUACUGGGUGUAAAGGGAGCGUAGACGGUAUGGCAAGUCUGAAGUGAAAGCCCAGGGCUUAACCCUGGGACUGCUUUGGAAACUGUUAGACUAGAGUGCUGGAGAGGUAAGUGGAAUUCCUAGUGUAGCGGUGAAAUGCGUAGAUAUUAGGAGGAACACCAGUGGCGAAGGCGACUUACUGGACAGUAACUGACGUUGAGGCUCGAAAGCGUGGGGAGCAAACAGGAUUAGAUACCCUGGUAGUC
rnacentral:rRNA from 1 species